AGCGAACGCUGGCGGCAGGCUUAACACAUGCAAGUCGAACGGGCGUAGCAAUACGUCAGUGGCAGACGGGUGAGUAACGCGUGGGAACGUACCUUUUGGUUCGGAACAACACAGGGAAACUUGUGCUAAUACCGGAUAAGCCCUUACGGGGAAAGAUUUAUCGCCGAAAGAUCGGCCCGCGUCUGAUUAGCUAGUUGGUGAGGUAACGGCUCACCAAGGCGACGAUCUGUAGCGGGUCUGAGAGGAUGAUCCGCCACACUGGAACUGAGACACGGUCCAGACUCCUACGGGAGGCAGCAGUGGGGAAUUUUGGACAAUGGGGACAACCCUGAUCCAGCCAUGCCGCGUGAGUGAAGAAGGCCUCGGUUGUAA
rnacentral:rRNA from 1 species